rnacentral:misc_RNA from 1 species
GAUGAAGAACGUAGCGAAAUGCGAUAAGUAAUGUGAAUUGCAGAAUUCAGUGAAUCAUCGAAUCUUUGAACGCACAUUGCGCCCGCCAGUAUUCUGGCGGGCAUGCCUGUUCGAGCGUCAUUUCAACCAUCAAGCCCCCGGCUUGUGUUGGGGACCUGCGGCUGCCGCAGGCCCUGAAAACCAGUGGCGGGCUCUCUAGUCACUCCGAGCGUAGUAAUACAUCUCGCUCAGGGCGUGCUGCGGGUUCCGGCCGUUAAAAAGCCUUAUUUACCCAAGGUUGACCUCGGAUCAGGUAGGAAGACCCGCUGAACUUAAGCAUAUCAAUAAGCGGAGGA